rnacentral:lncRNA from 1 species
CUCUCAUUCCCUUCAUCCCCACACCACACACACAACCACGUCGACAACACACACUCACACACAACCACGGCGACGUAGCACACACACAAUCCGCGGCUUCACCAACAUGAACGACCAUCCAUGUUCGAUUCCUCCAUUGUCGCUUCUGUUGCAUCGUCUGCUUCUUCUUCUGCUGCUGCACGUCGAGCAGUUGGUUCGAAGCCACGUCGUCGCCACUAUUUCGUCGUCAACCAAGCAGACCACGCUGCUGCUUCUCCGUCGCAGCUGCUGCCCGUGUCCGCCAUUGACGCAGCCAUUUCUGCUCCUUCACCUGCUGCUCGACGUGCGCUGCUGCCUCUUCGCCAUGACCAGCACUGUUGUUCACGUUUUUGUUACUGUGUUGCUGCUAUUCCGUCGCUGCUGCCUUCC